GAUGAACGCUAGCUACAGGCUUAACACAUGCAAGUCGAGGGGUAACGAGAGGAAAGCUUGCCUUCCUUGUCGACGACCGGCGCACGGGUGAGUAACGCGUAUCCAACCUGCCCCCAACUAGGGAAUAACCUUGCGAAAGUAAGACUAAUACCCUAUAAUUUCCUCAGAUGUCAUCUGACGAGGACUAAAGAUUUAUCGGUUGUGGAUGGGGAUGCGUCUGAUUAGCUUGUUGGCGGGGUAACGGCCCACCAAGGCAACGAUCAGUAGGGGUUCUGAGAGGAAGGUCCCCCACAUUGGAACUGAGACACGGUCCAAACUCCUACGGGAGGCAGCAGUGAGGAAUAUUGGUCAAUGGGCGGAAGCCUGAACCAGCCAAGUAGCGUGCAGGAUGACGGCCCUAUGGGUUGUAAACUGCUUUUAUACAGGAAUAAAGUUAGCCACGUGUGGUUAUUUGUAGGUACUGUAUGAAUAAGGACCGGCUAAUUCCGUGCCAGCCGCCGCGGUAA
rnacentral:rRNA from 1 species